UCGGGGUUCACUGGACCACUGACCACAAACUAGUUUCGUCCGGUUUCAAUUUUACCUAUUAAAAAAACCCUCUGACAGUCAGUUGAAGUUAUCAUUUUGUCCUCUUACAAAAUGUUUAUAUUUUCUAUACUCAAUAACCUUUUCUGCGGCCUGUGGAGAAAAUCUGUCAUCUCAGAGCGCGCGCCGUUGAGGCAUGGUGAAUUAACAGCAUACUGAAAAACAUG